rnacentral:tRNA from 1 species
CCCAAUAUGGCAGAUUUAGUGCCACGGACUUAAGAUCCGUUUAUAGAGGUUCUCUUUUUGGGU